rnacentral:sRNA from 1 species
ACUGAAUGACUUCAACUGCUGCAUCGGGACGCCUGCCGAGGCCCAUAUUGCGCUUCAAGUUAUCGCCAAUCGCGUAGGCGAGGCUGUUCGGCGUGAGACCGGCGGCAGGGAUUGCC